CUCAUGCUAACAUGCUAGCAAGUCAUUUUCCAGGCAGCAGAGAUGAUAUUGCAGAGUUUGUUUUUGCUCGUUCGGUUAGAGAUGCUGGAGUAGGGGAUCAGAUCCAGGUCAUCCUGAGGGACUCCAGGGUUCCUCUCGCUUCCAUAAAGCUUCCUUUUCAACUCCUCUGGGAUUUGGGGUUAAAGUUCAGGCAUUAUUUGAGCUUUCAAGAUGCUAAUUAGCUGCUGCCACCUUGUUACCAUGGUUACGCAUCAUAACAACUGUUAAAAGUGUAGAAAAAAGAAAAAUCAGAGCUGAAAUAACGGAGCUGCUCCAUCAUGAGUGGACGAUACUCCACAGUAACAUGUCCAGCUCUGCUAAGCCACUUCCUUUGCUGUUGCUGCCUCGUCUCCAACUCCUGGGGAAACUUGGCAGCCAGCGGAGGAAGUCAUAACUCCGGCUCGGUUACAACCCGUCCUAGUUAAAGCACCGAGUUUGGCUCCGUUGGAUGAAACCUGGAAGUGUUCAGAUCAGCUUAGAUGAAAACUUCACAAUCACAGACUUUUCUUUCAGGCAAAAGUUUUGGUCACACACAGACGUCUUCACUGCGUUGUGUGACUCCAGACAGAAGACGCUGCAGCUAAUAUCUGCUAGCCACUGGCAUUAAAUGCCCAUUAAUGCAUUUAAAUGGGCUGGACAAUGUUUAUGCAUAUUCUGUGAAGUCUUAAAUUUCAUUUAUAAUGGUCUUAAAAUGUCUUU